UAGCCUUGACAUAUUUUAGAACUCCGUAGAGAUAUAGAGGUGCCUUCGGGAGCUAAUAUACAGGUGCUGCACGGCUGUCGUCAGCUCGUGUCGUGAGAUGUUGGGUUAAGUCCCGCAACGAGCGCAACCCUCGUCACUAGUUACUAACGGUUCGGCCGAGGACUCUAGUGAGACUGCCUUCGUAAGGAGGAGGAAGGUGAGGACGACGUCAAGUCAUCAUGGCCCUUACGGCUAGGGCAACACACGUGCUACAAUGGCCAGGACAGUGAGACGCGAUACCGCGAGGUGGAGCAAAUCUAUAAACCUGGUCUCAGUUCGGAUUGUAGUCUGCAACUCGACUACAUGAAGCUGGAAUCACUAGUAAUCGUAGAUCAGCUAUGCUACGGUGAAUACGUUCCCGGGUCU
rnacentral:rRNA from 1 species